AUCAAAGUCCAUUUCUUAUGUAUUGUAUAGUAAGCUCUUGUGAAAAUAGUUAUCAAAAAAUAAAAUAUGUAUAUAUAUAUACAUACAUCAGUGUUUAAACGGAGUUCAAAUCCAGAAAAAAUAAUUGGAGAAAGAGACAAUUUGCAUGGAAUUCGUGACAAUUCCACUAGUGUGAAGGAUCCCUUAACGAGGGCGGCCCUGACCGCUACCGUUAUCCUAUUCGAUGCUUCAUUGACUUUCAUCCUAACUUGGGUGAUGCGUGUUUCGCACACGUGACAUACAGUUUGCAUGGAUAUGUGACAUACGAGGUGUACGUAAACGAAACUACUGCUGCUACUGCUACUGCUACUGCUGCUGCUGCUGCUGCUGCUGUUGCUGCUGCUGCUGCUGCUGCUGCUGCUGCUGCUACUGUUGUUGGUAGAGACGAUGUUCGGCCGGUUAUACAGAACGUGUUACUUCAUGGUGACACGUAACACGGCUAGAUUGCCGCUAUAUUUCAUUUUUCCAUAAAUGUCGAAUGAAUGAUUCGAAACACGUAUAAGUUUCAUGAUAAAACAUGUAAUCGGGCCAGUUUUCAGAUUGAAAACUUUGAACAAGGGAUCAAGUGUUAGUAGAACAAAGACUCGUCUGGUGUUAGAUCAAGAGGUACCGAAGAUUUCUUUACUUGGAAAUUUUCAAGUUUUAAACCCACCAACCAAAUGUGCUGAUCGUACGACGGAAUAAUUUCGGUGUUAAAAGGACCACAUUAAAGAUUUCUCUCUCUCUCUCUCUUUUUCUCUCUCUUUCUCUCUCUCUCUCUCUCUCUUUUUCUAUGUAUCUAUCUAUCUCUCUUUUUCGAAGUGUCGAGAGAAGCGAUUUAUUUAAUUAAGCGACAGAUUCUGUGUCGUUCGGAAAGCGUAGUCGAUUUGAAACGGAAGGAGAGCUUCGAAAUGCGGAGGAGGGCAACAACGCAGCAACCAAACACUUGUGGCUUUUAAGCUUGUGGCGAACCGGUGCUCCUGAUUCAAUUACCUUUGAAAUCCUUUGUCGUCGGACAUUAAAGCCGGAGCUAAUCCUGGGAGCACGUUGGGAACUCCGAAUGGCUUUUCCUCCUCCUUCACCUCCUCCUCCUCCCUCUCUCUCUCUCUUUCUCUCUCUUUUCCUCUCUCUUUCUUUCCCUUUCUUUCUUUUUCUAUUUCUUUUAGUUUCUUUUCCUGUUUCUUUUUUCCUUCUUCUUUUUUUCCCUUUUUUUUUUUCUUUUUUUCCAUUGAUCAGAAAACAUCCCCGUGUUAAGCCGUGACGGGAAAUUUUAUGGGGCGUUUAACGAUAAUCGAUGAACAAAGAUGGCUACUCUGAUUAUAUUUUUAGUACACUCAUUAUUUUUCUAUUUGAUCAUUUUUAUUUUUGUUUUAUAUUCCUUUGCCGUUUAUUUAGAUAAUGAGGUACGAAUAAUACAAGGCAAUGGGAUUAUUAUUCUAGCUAAUAUGUUUUACUUUUCGAUGGACGAAUAGAGAAUGAUCUAAGUACUGAUAGAUUCGUACCAUAAAAAAGAAAGAGAGAGAGAGAGAGAGAGAGAAAGAGAGAAAGAAUGAGAUAGAGUGAAGGUGAAGGAUCGAAAAGGAAUGAUUCCUGAAUCGUUGAGCUUUCACACUCAGUUGAGCGUAAAUUUUUCAGUUUCGGCUGGUCGAACGUUAUCGAUGAUAAAAUUGGUAAGUGCAAGAAAAUUGGAAAAUCUCUUUCUGAAAUGACUUUUUUUUCUCUUUCUCUUUUUUUUUUUUUUUUUCGGAUAAAAAACCUAGCCGAAAGUCUACAGAUUUUUUUAGAAUUUUUUUUUUGUUUAGAUAAAUUUAGCACUACGACGAAAUGUAUCUAUUCACAUUUUUCUCUUUUUCUUCUUUUUUUAUUGCAAAUUUUUUUAAUUAUCAUUGUAAGAAAUAUUUGGUUUCGACAAUAGAUAAGUUUCGAUCAUGAACAAUCCAAUUGAUGCAAACAAAAUGUGUAAAAGUUAUUAAAACGGUGUUUAAAUCAUCUAUCUUUAUGGCUUAUUCAAAAAGCCGUGAAUUUCAAUGUAAAAUCCAUUCUAUCUCUUUCUGUCCCUUUCUCUCUCUCUCUCUCUCUCUCUCUCACUUUCAGAGGAGAGAGUUUUCUAGUUUUGAAACCACAAACGAGUACUACAUAACGAGAUCAUUCAUGGCUUUUGUUAUU